rnacentral:rRNA from 1 species
GAUGAACGCUGGCGGCGUGCCUAAUACAUGCAAGUCGAGCGAAGCGGGGACGGGUGAGUAACACGUGGAUAACCUCCUAUAAGACUGGGAUAACCUCCGGAAACCGGAGCCAAACCGGCUACUUAUAGAUGGUUCCGUGCUGCAUUAGCUAGUUGGUAAGGUAACGGCGUACCAAGGCAACGAUGCAUAGCCGACCUGAGAGGGUGAUCGGCCACACUGGAACUGAGACACGGUCCAGACUCCUACGGGAGGCAGCAGUAGGGAAUCUUCCGCAAUGGGCGAAAGCCUGACGGAGCAACGCCGCGUGAGUGAUGAAGGUCUUCGGAUCGUAAAGCUCUGUUAUUAGGGAAGCGGUACCUAAUCAGAAAGCCCCGGCUAACUACGUGCCAGCAGCCGCGGUAAUUC